AAUCUGUUCAUACACAAAAGCAACAGAUACACAAGAUUAACAUCUAUCAACAGAUACACAAGAUUAACAUCUAUCAAUAGAUACACAAGAUUAACAUCUACGAUACGAUUAACAUCUAUCAAUAGAUACACAAGAUUAACAUCUAUCAAUAGAUACACAAGAUUAACAUUUAUCAACAGAUACACAAGAUUAACAUCUAUCAAUAGAUACACAAGAUUAACAUUUAUC
rnacentral:lncRNA from 1 species